AUUGCCUCAGUAACGGCGAGUGAAGCGGCAACAGCUCAAAUUUGAAAUCUGGCCUCUUUGGGGUCCGAGUUGUAAUUUGUAGAGGAUGUUUCGGGUACCGCUCCGGUUUAAAUUUCUUGGAACAGAAUGUCAUAGAGGGUGAGAAUCCCGUCUUGGACCGGCGGUAGGGCCCAUGUGAAACUCCUUCGACGAGUCGAGUUGUUUGGGAAUGCAGCUCAAAAUGGGUGGUAAAUUUCAUCUAAAGCUAAAUAUUGGCCAGAGACCGAUAGCGCACAAGUAGAGUGAUCGAAAGAUGAAAAGCACUUUGAAAAGAGAGUUAAACAGUAUGUGAAAUUGUUGAAAGGGAAGCGCUUACAACCAGACUUGAGCGCGACGGUUCCCCCUUCCUUUUGGUUGGGCUACUCCGUCGUGUCCAGGCCAACAUCGGUUUUGGGGGUCGGUUAAAGGCGCCGGGAAUGUAUCUACCCUUCGGGCGUAGACUUAUAGCCCGGCGUGUCAUGCGACCUCCCGGGACCGAGGAACGCGCUUCGGCUCGGAUGUUGGCGUAAUGGUUGUCAGCGACCCGUCUUGAAACACGGACCAAGGAGUCUAACAUCUAUGCGAGUGUUUGGGUGUCAAACCCGGAACGCGAAAUGAAAGUGAACGGAGGUAGGAAGCCUUGAGGCUGCACUAUCGACCGAUCCUGAUGUCUUCGGAUGGAUUUGAGUAAGAGCAUAGCUGUUGGGACCCGAAAGAUGGUGAACUAUGCCUGAAUAGGGUGAAGCCAGAGGAAACUCUGGUGGAGGCUCGCAGCGGUUCUGACGUGCAAAUCGAUCGUCAAAUUUGGGUAUAGGGGCGAAAGACUAAUCGAACCAUCUGGUAGCUGGUUCCUGCCGAAGUUUCCCUCAGGAUAGCAGUAACGUUUUCAGUUUUAUGAGGUAAAGCGAAUGAUUAGAGGCCUUGGGGUUGUAACAACCUUAACCUAUUCUCAAACUUUAAAUAUGUAAGAAGUCCUUGUUACUUAAUUGAACGUGGACAUUUGAAUGUAUCGUUACUAGUGGGCCAUUUUUGGUAAGCAGAACUGGCGAUGCGGGAUGAACCGAACGUGAGGUUAAGGUGCCGGAAUGUACGCUCAUCAGACACCACAAAAGGUGUCAAUGCAUCCAGACAGCCGGACGGUGGCCAUGGAAGUCGGAAUCCGCUUAGGAGUGUGUAACAACUCACCGGCCGAAUGCAUUGGCCCUGAAAAUGGAUGGCGCUUAAGCGUGCUACCUAUACCUCGCCGUCAGGGUUGACAUGAUGCCCUGACGAGUAGGCAGGCGUGGAGGUCCGUGACGAAGC
rnacentral:rRNA from 1 species